AGUACGUGAAACCGUUCAGGGGUAAACCUAAGAAACCCAAAAGAUCGAACGGGGAGAUUCAUCGUCAGCGGCGCUGGCUUCGCGUCGGUGAGCGAUGUCCCGCGGAGUCCUCGCGGCUCGCGCGCGGGCACAUUACCGUGCGUUGAUGUCCGGCUGUUGUCGUCGUGCACUUCUCCCCAAGUAGAAACGUCGCGACUCGCUGGGUGUCGGUCUACGGCCCGGGUGCGGUGACUGUCGCGUCGCCGGUAAAAAGGCAUGCGAGAAACUCUCGGUCGCCCGGCCGGCUGCUCAGCGGUACGCGCAAGGUAUCAAGCCGCACUUCUACACGGUGCGUCGAGGCCGUCGCAAGCGCGCGCCACGGUACUCGGAGGUUAUAGACUUUGCGCCGUCCCCGGUCUUGACCCGCUGUUGGUUAAAGUACGGAUCACCUUCGACAGGCCUGCGAACGUCUCUCUCACGGGGAACGGAUACCGGUCGGCGACGCUACUGCUUUGGGUACUCUUAGGACCCGUCUUGAAAACACG
rnacentral:rRNA from 1 species